rnacentral:ribozyme from 1 species
AUACAAGUGGAAGAAAGAAAGAAGAAAGUGAGACAAAAGGAAAAACACAAUGGAAUGAAAUGAAGCGUGGUUUUUGCCUUUUGCUCACUUUGUUCUUCUUUCUCCUCUUGUUCACUGUUGACUUGUGUUGUGUAGUGUGUUGUGUUCACUUUCAUUCAGUUCACGCUUAAUUUCCUUACCAUUGUAACUGAAUGAAAGGAACACACCACAUUACACUACACAACAGGAUUUCGUUUCUUUGUCCUUUUGUUCUUUUGCUUUUCAAUUAAACA